rnacentral:lncRNA from 1 species
GUGUGUGUCGAAGGGCAAGAAUGGGGAAGCUGUGAGUUGAUACUCCAGAGCCUUGAAGUCAGUCAAAAAGAUCAGACUUAAUGCUGUGGGCAGCAGGGUCAUGGGAGGGUUGAAGCAGCUCAUCUUCCUGGGUGUUGGGCCCUGGGGGAGUGCUUGGCUGGGUGCUAAGGCCUGGGCACUCAGGCCCUUCCCUUCAAGUGCUGAGGUGGACUCUGGGUGGGGGUUUUGCAGCCUCUCUGGAGUUUCCAGUGCUGUCAAAGGCAAGAUAUCAGGUAAGCUCCUGUCUGUGCUUGUGUCCAAACCCAUUCAAAGAUACACUUGCCAGCCUUCCUCCCAAGGAUAUUUCACUCAGCCCCUAUCUGAGACAGAUUAGCCCCACUAAUGAUAAAGAAUGGAUCCCACCAGGCCUCCCCUAGUCCAAUGAGAAGUGCUUCCUACUAUCUAGCUUUAUUUUUUUUUUUAUUUUUAUUUUUUUAAAGAAAGGCAGACUGCCACGUGCAGCGCCUCAUUUGGAUGUGUCUGGAGUCUUGGAAGCUUGACUACCCUACGUUCUCCUACAAGUGGACCUUGAGAGCUUGUUUGGAGGUUCCAGCAGGGGAGCGCAGCUACUCGUAUACCCUUGACCGAAGAACGGUCCUCCUCUAUCGGGGAAGGUCGUCCUCUUCGACAGAGCGUGCAGCUUCGGGAGGGACGCACAUGGAGCGGUGAGGGAGGAAGGGGACACCCGCCUAGCCAGCCAGAUCAGCCGAAUCAACCCUGGCGAUCGAUGGGGUGACAGAUGUCGCAGCCAGAUCGCCCUCACAUCCCCUACUAUCUAGCUUUAAUCUCUCCUACUUGUCUUUAGAUGUUUGGCCCCAGAUGAGAUUCUUCUUUCAGGCAUCAGAGCUACUUUGUCUGGUGUGCCAACACUACCUGUCCUCAACCCCUGGCCCAGUGACUACAGUGGCUGGCCCCAUGGCCCGGGAUGUGGAGAGCCUGGCCCUGUGUCUGCGAGCCCUGCUAAGUGAAGACAUGCACCGACUGGACCCUACUGUGCCUUUUAUGCCCUUCAGGGAGGAGGUGAGCUGGGUUGGGGAACAGGCCACCUCUCCCUUCCCCCAUUCCUCAUUGACCUGUCUACCAUCUGACCAUCUUCUGUGGAGACCUCCUUUCCCAGCCCAUGGUACAGUGACCAAGAAGCCUCUAUACUCAGUCAUGUUUACAUC